ensembl:snRNA U2 U2 spliceosomal RNA
AUUGCUUCUCGGCUCUUUGAGCUAAGAUCAAGCGUAGUACCUGUUCUUAUCAGUUUAAUAUCUGAAAAGUCCUUUAUUUGAGGACUGUAUAUUAAAUUAAUUUUUAGAACAGGGGGCUAGACUCGCAGCUUGCUCAGUCUGCCCUAUGCAUCGACCUGGUAUUGCAGUGUCUCCAGGAAUGGUGCAUCUCCU